rnacentral:rRNA from 1 species
GCAGUCGAGGGGCAGCGAGAUGUAGCAUACGUCGUCGGCGACCGGCGAAUGGGUGAGUAACACGUAUGCAACUUACCUCUUAGUGGUGAAUAACCCGAUGAAAGUCGGACUAAUACACCAUACUCUCCUUAGAUCACAUGAGAAGAGGAGGAAAGAUUAAUCGCUAAGAGAUAGGCCUGCGUUCCAUUAGCUAGUUGGUAAGGCAACGGCUUACCAAGGCAACGAUGGAUAGGGGGACUGAGAGGUUGACCCCCCACAUUGACACUGAGAUACGGGUCAAACUCCUACGGGAGGCAGCAGUGAGGAAUAUUGGUCAAUGGGCGAGAGCCUGAACCAGCCAAGUCGCGUGAAGGAAGACUGCCCGCAAGGGUUGUAAACUUCUUUUGUAUGGGAUUAAAGUCACCUACGUGUAGGUGUUUGCAGUUACCAUACGAAUAAGCAUCGGCUAACUCCGUGCCAGCAGCCGCGGUAAUACGGAGGAUGCGAGCGUUAUCCGGAAUUAUUGGGUUUAAAGGGUGCGUAGUUGCAAGGAAGUCAGGGUGAAAGCUGUA